rnacentral:rRNA from 1 species
GGCUACUGCUAUUGGGAUUCGACUAAGCCAUGCGAGUCAAGGUGUCUUCGGACGCCGGCGUACGGCUCAGUAACACGUAGGUAACCUACCCUCAGGACUGAGAUAACCCCGGGAAACUGGGGCUAAUAUUAGAUAGAUAAAAGGUACUGGAAUGUUCUUUUAUCCAAAGCUUUUGCGCCUGAGGAUGGGCCUGCGUCCGAUUAGGUUGUUGGUGGGGUAAUGGCCCAC